AAGAGUUCAACUAAGAAAAGAGCAUCAUUCACGGCUGAAUUCGCGAAACCUUUCACCCAGUUUCCACAUUCAUCUCGAAUCAGACACCAAAUACCAUAUCUAUUUUACAGGUUCAUAACUUCCAUGUACAUUCAAUGAAUGAAGCUGAAAAAAAUGUGCCAACUAUCAAUUAAUUUUGGGAACCAGAUCAAUCUGAAAAGGAAAUGAGACAUACAAAAACCAGCAUGACAAAAUCAUUCUAAAAAUCAAACACACAAAUAUGGUCAAAGGAAAAGUAAAUUUAAACAAUUGAGACAUGCAAAGCUUAAAAUAGGUUAACACUAUGUUCGCUAGAUGACAUGUGGAAUGAGAGCGAGGAAGUUCAUUGGAACAAGAUCCAAAAGCUCUUUCCCUUCUCUCACUCCAUAAGCCUCUACCAAACACUGCACUAAGAUAACUCCAGAUUCAGCAUCGGUUACACUGCAAGGCUCAGAUUUCACACACAGAUUGGAUCGAUCGUCGAAAAAGCAAUACCGCCAUGGAUGGCUGCAACAAGAUUCGGAAAUUCCGAUCAAGUUGCCUCGCCACCGGAGGCAUUGUUUGACGGCGACCGAUCCAUCCGUUCCACACUCCGAAACCAUCGUCAUUGCCUGAGAGAGAAAGAGAGAAGCGGAGACAGAAAGAGGGACCAAAAAUAUAUUUAAGAUGAAAAUGAAGGACAUAAAAAAUGAGAGAGGGGAGGGGGGGGGGGGCAGUUUUUUUUUUUUUUUUUUUUUUUUGGUUACAUCGAGAGAUUAGGGUUUGAUGUUCCAUCAUAGAGAAACCUCAGCAAGGAACGGAGUGUGUGUGCAAACCCCAGAUCUACUCUGAAGUUGAGUUUCACUGAGAUUUAUGUUGGAGACUCAACUGGUGCUUUUUCUUAAUUUCCAAUUAUACCCUUCUUGUAGUUACCAUGAUGAUGGGAAUGGGAACAAGGAGAAAUGGUAGUAUUGUCUAUUUGGACUUGGGCCUUUUGACCUCACUUGAACUGGUUCUGCUCCACGACCAGCAAGAGGCUAAAUAGCUGAUAAUAUUGAGAUUAAUCUUUAUCCAGAGUCACCAUACUAAGAGGUUGAGAACUCACCAAUGAUACCAUAAAGUGUGUUUGAAAAAUCCAAAUGAAUCCAAAUCUAGGUGUGAUCUAAAUUUAGUAGAAGCAACAAAUGGUUUGGAAAGAUGGAUCCACAUUUAUGAAGCACAGACUCUGACACAAACACGACAUGACACCGUUACCGCGACACGGCUCAAGUCUAAAAAGAAAGACACGAGGACACCGCAUAUAUAUAUAUAUAUAUAUAUAUGUGUGUGUGUGUAUUUUUUAUGAAACUCUUGUCAUAAAGCUUAGGAAAUUGCUUUGAUGUUUUCCUUGUAAAAAAAUAAAUUGUCUAAAAAAAGAACUAAUCUAUCUACUGGUUUUCACUCAUUUAUUGAUCAUCAUCAUUAAAAAUGUAUUUGACUCUGGUUAUUCAAGUGAUAAAUUGACAAUUUCUUUCAUGGUUCACUCUUAAAAAUUAUGUGUUUUAAAUAUACAAGUGUCCUAGAGGUGUCCAGCCAAAAAAGAGGUGUCAACUCACAUGUUCGAGCCGUAAAAAAAAUACUUUUUUAAUCAGACACAGUGAGGAAGUGUCUGACACGUGUAGUAUAUGUGUCGUACAGGUGUCAGUGUCGUGUUGGUGUCCGACAUCGGGACACGACAUAUGUAAGAGUGCUUCAUAGAUCCACAUCCAAAAGUGUUAGAAUUGAAACCAAACAUGCACGAAGUGUUGAACCACUAUGUCGACCUACAAGGUUUGAAGUACUUGAAUUUCAUCGAUACUUAUUUUUUACGACAAAUUACCUAUGGUAAGAAACUAUAAGUAUAGGCUUUAUGGGUAAAAAUUACAAACUACCUUUGAAGGUCUCAAUUGUAAUUUUAUAUGAUCCUAUCUAUCGGUAAAUUUUCAUAACAUUAAGCGGGAGGUUUGCCUAGAUUACCAAUGGGUAGAUACUGUAAUAGCUUAUUGAUUGAACGCUCUUGCACCAAAAAUGAACAAGGAUAAACGAUAUGUCGAAGUUGUGCGAUGUAAAAAUGAAUCGGCAGAGGAGCAUUCCGACUAAGAGAGAAGUACCCGCACGAGUGGUGGUUGAUGAAGCGAGAUGAGAAUGUCGAACUUUGAGUAACCAUUCAAAUAAUUAAAAAUCAUUUUACCUUUUUAGUUAGAACUUGAGGGGGCUCACUAAAAAAGAUGGCGAACAAAAUGGCCUUUGCUAGGGGAGAAACAUUUAAUUGAUGCAAGAACAAUGUCAUUUAUGCUUUAACACUUAACACAUACUAAACUCUUUGCAAGCCUCUGGACACCGGCACAACCAUCAAGACAAUGUGCAAAUUUGUAUGAGUGGAUAAAAAAAUCGGAUGAUUCAAUUGAAUCAUUAAAAACCUGAACUUGAAUUUGACAUUUACAUUAGUUAUUGACAUGUACAGGAGUUUCUAGGCAAACAGAAGUAACAUAAACUACCAAGUGAUAUUGCAAAACUAUUCUUUGUUUAGCAAUCACUAAAACAUGCUGCAGCUUAAUAUUCCAGUCCCUGUCAAACAUUUCCCCAACAGUAAUAAGCUAAGCUCUGAGGCAGCUAGCUCAACUGAUUAGAAUUGAACUAAGAAUUUAAAUCAAAUCCAUGCAGUCCAGUUCAUAGAUCGCAUUUCCAAUAGGAGAGGAGCGACAUGCCCAGAUGAAUUCACAAAACCUUUCACCCAGUUUCCACACAUAUAUGAAAGCUGCAAAGCUGAAAAUUAUACCACCAUAUUAUACCAUAAUCUACUUAACAUGACCAUACUUCCAUCUACAUUUAAUAUAUGAAAGCUGCAAAGCUGAAAAUUUGUAAACUAUCAAUUUUGGAAACAGAUUAGUUC
rnacentral:lncRNA from 1 species